ACGCGGUCGUGCAGGAAAUUAUU
rnacentral:miRNA from 11 species